rnacentral:rRNA from 1 species
ACGAACGCUGGCGGCGUGCUUAACCCCUGCCAGUCGAACGGAAAGGCCCUGCUUUUGUGGGGUGCUCGAGUGGCGAACGGGUGAGUAACACGUGAGUAACCUGCCCUUGACUUUGGGAUAACUUCAGGAAACUGGGGCUAAUACCGGAUAGGAGCUCCUGCUGCAUGGUGGGGGUUGGAAAGUUUCGGCGGUUGGGGAUGGACUCGCGGCUUAUCAGCUUGUUGGUGGGGUAGUGGCUUACCAAGGCUUUGACGGGUAGCCGGCCUGAGAGGGUGACCGGCCACAUUGGGACUGAGAUACGGCCCAGACUCCUACGGGAGGCAGCAGUGGGGAAUAUUGCACAAUGGGCGGAAGCCUGAUGCAGCAACGCCGCGUGCGGGAUGACGGCCUUCGGGUUGUAAACCGCUUUCGCCUGUGACGAAGCGUGAGUGACGGUAAUGGGCAAAGAAGCACCGGCUAACUACGUG